rnacentral:rRNA from 1 species
AUUGAACGCUGGCGACAUGCCUUACACAUGCAAGUCGAACGGCAGCACGGGUGCUUGCACCUGGUGGCGAGUGGCGAACGGGUGAGUAAUACAACGGAACAUGUCCUGUAGUGGGGGAUAGCCCGGCGAAAGCCGGAUUAAUACCGCAUACGAUCUACGGAUGAAAGCGGGGGACCUUCGGGCCUCGCGCUAUAGGGUUGGCCGAUGGCUGAUUAGCUAGUUGGUGGGGUAAAGGCCUACCAAGGCGACGAUCAGUAGCUGGUCUGAGAGGACGACCAGCCACACUGGGACUGAGACACGGCCCAGACUCCUACGGGAGGCAGCAGUGGGGAAUUUUGGACAAUGGGCGAAAGCCUGAUCCAGCAAUGCCGCGUGUGUGAAGAAGGCCUUCGGGUUGUAAAGCACUUUUGUCCGGAAAGAAAUCCUUGGCCCUAAUACGGUCGGGGGAUGACGGUACCGGAAGAAUAAGCACCGGCUAACUACGUG